ACCCUUUAAUGUUUGAUGUUCUAACGUGGACCCGUGAUCCGGGUUGCGGACAGUGUCUGGUGGGUAGUUUGACUGGGGCGGUCUCCUCCUAAAGAGUAACGGAGGAGCACGAAGGUUGGCUAAUCCUGGUCGGACAUCAGGAGGUUAGUGCAAUGGCAUAAGCCAGCUUGACUGCGAGCGUGACGGCGCGAGCAGGUGCGAAAGCAGGUCAUAGUGAUCCGGUGGUUCUGAAUGGAAGGGCCAUCGCUCAACGGAUAAAAGGUACUCCGGGGAUAACAGGCUGAUACCGCCCAAGAGUUCAUAUCGACGGCGGUGUUUGGCACCUCGAUGUCGGCUCAUCACAUCCUGGGGCUGAAGUAGGUCCCAAGGGUAUGGCUGUUCGCCAUUUAAAGUGGUACGCGAGCUGGGUUUAGAACGUCGUGAGACAGUUCGGUCCCUAUCUGCCGUGGGCGCUGGAGAACUGAGGGGGGCUGCUCCUAGUACGAGAGGACCGGAGUGGACGCAUCACUGGUGUUCGGGUUGUCAUGCCAAUGGCACUGCCCGGUAGCUAAAUGCGGAAGAGAUAAGUGCUGAAAGCAUCUAAGCACGAAACUUGCCCCGAGAUGAGUUCUCCCUGAGACUUAAAGUCUC
rnacentral:rRNA from 2 species